GAAAAUGUUAAAGUUCUUAUUUCAUGGUAUAACUUUGGUAUGCUUGGACCUAGAGUCUUGAAACUUGACAUGAAGGUUGGCCAGGAUUAACAGAUGACCACUGGUCAUUUCAAGGUCAUUCAUUUGAAGGUCAAGGUCACUGUGACCUUCAAUAUAAAAAAUGUUAAAGUUGUUAUAACUUUGGUAUGCUUGGACCUAGAGUCUUGAAACUUGACAUGAAGGUUGGCCAGAACUAGUAAGUAACCACUGGACAUUUCAAGGUCAUUCCUUUGAAGGUCAAGGUCACUGUGACCUUGAAUGUAAAAAUGUUAAAGUUGUUAUAACUUUGGUAUGCUUGGACCUAGAGUCUUGAAACUUGACAUGAAGGUUGGCCAGAACUAGUAAGUAACCACUGGACAUUUCAAGGUCAUUCAUUUGAAGGUCAAGGUCACUGUGACCUUGAAUGUAAAAAUGUUAAAGUUCUUAUUUCAUGUUAUAACUUUGGUAUGCUUGUACCUAGAGUCUUCAAACUUGAAAUAAAGAUUGGCCAGUACUAGAAGAUGACCACUGGUCAUUUCAAUGUCAUUCAUUUGAAGGUCAAGGUCACUGUGACCUUAAAUGUUAAAAUGUUAAAAUUGUUAUAACUUUGGUAUGCUUGGACAUAGAGUCUUCAAACUUGACAUGAAGGUUUGCAAGCACACUUAGAUGACCACUGGUCAUUUCAAGGUCAUUCAUUCUAAGGUCAAGGUCACUGUGACCUUGAAUGUAAAAAUGUUAAAGUUCUUAUAACUUUGGUAGGUAAAAAUGUUAAAGUUCUUAUUCCAUGUUAUAACUUUGGUAUGCUUGUACCUAGAGUCUUCAAACUUGACAUAAAGGUUGGCCAGUACUAGAAGAUCACCACUGCUCAUUUCAAUGUCAUUCAUUUGAAGGUCAAGGUCACUGUGACCUUCAAUGUUAAAAUGUUAAAAUUGUUAUAACUUUGGUAUGCUUGGACCUAGAAUCUCAAACUUGACGUAAAGGUUUGCAAGCACACUUAGAUGACCACUGGUCAUUUCAAGGUCAUUCAUUUCAAUGUCAUUCAUUUGAAGGUCAAGGUCACUGUGAACUUAAAUGUUAAAAUGUUAAAAUUGUUGUAACUUUGGUACUUUCCUGUCAUUUAAAUCAAAAAUCCGGCUUCAAUGCGGUCAUCUCCGACCGCGGAACUCUUGUAUUAAC